rnacentral:rRNA from 1 species
GACGAACGCUGGCGGCGUGCUUAACACAUGCAAGUCGAACGGAAAGGCCCUGCUUUUGUGGGGUGCUCGAGUGGCGAACGGGUGAGUAACACGUGAGUAACCUGCCCUUGACUUUGGGAUAACUUCAGGAUACUGGGGCUAAUACCGGAUAGGAGCUCCUGCUGCAUGGUGGGGGUUGGAAAGUUUCGGCGGUUGGGGAUGGACUCGCGGCUUAUCAGCUUGUUGGUGGGGUAGUGGCUUACCAAGGCUUUGACGGGUAGCCAGCCUGAGAGGGUGACCGGCCACAUUGGGACUGAGAUACGGCCCAGACUCCUACGGGAGGCAGCAGUGGGGAAUAUUGCACAAUGGGCGGAAGCCUGAUGCAGCAACGCCGCGUGCGGGAUGACGGCCUUCGGGUUGUAAACCGCUUUCGCCUGUGACGAAGCGUGAGUGACGGUAAUGGGUAAAGAAGCACCGGCUAACUACGUG